rnacentral:lncRNA from 1 species
GGACUCCGAUUAUGGAAGGAGCGGACAAAAAAUUUAACUGAAAUUUUAAUUAAGGAUAGAUUUCGGUCCUUUUUUCACGUAUGGAACCGAGGGGGAGCAUACUGGUCUGGACCUGCCAGCAGCAAGCAAAAUCUAUGCUCUGGUGCAUGUUUCUCGACUCAAGUCAUCACUCCAUCUAUUUGUCAUAGAGACAACUCCAUGGGGGCUUGCCACAAUUGGUCAUUGAGACAACUUCGACGUCAGUACCUGUGCACUCGGGUAAUUAACAGGGUGUUUAGUUGGGAUGUUAAAAUUUAACGGGUAUUGUACUAUUUUUAUUUUAUUUACCAAUUAGUGUCCAAUCAUAGACUAAUUUAGCUCAAAAGAUUCGUCUCACAAAUUAUUCUCUAGUUGUAUUUUUAGUUUCGUAAAUAAUCUAAAUUUGGUACUUCAUGCAUGUGUCCAAACAUUCGAUGUGAUGAGUCAUAAAAAAUCAGCCCUACACGUCCUAAAAAUCUUUUGAAAAUUGCUAACUAGGGCCUUGUUUAUAUGCAAAAACUUUUUGGAUUUAGAUACUAUAGCGCUUUUAUUUGUAUUUGACAAUUAUUGUCCAACCAUGAACUAAUUAGACUCAAAAGAUUUGUCUCGUAAAUUAUAUGUAAAUUGUGCACUUAGUUAUUUUUUAUCUGUAUUUAAUUUUUUUUUUUGCGAGCAAUCUGUAUUUAAUGUUUUAUGUAUGUGCUGCAAGAUUUGAUAUGAUAGGAGAUCUUGAAAAAAAAAAUUGGAUUUUAGGUGCAAUAAUCAAGGCCUAGGUGGAUCUGAAUGAGAUGAAGCACCGCUUUCCUGAAGGAGGGAGAGGGAUGUCACCGGCCAUGUUGGCCAGUCCAAGCUGAAAGGCCCAGGAAAGCGUGUGUACCCCGUUUCCGAGUGGGAGAUGGCGCAAUACAGUGUGUACUAUGUGUAUGUUAUAUCACGAGGGCCCAAAGAUAGAUUUAGGGUAUGUUUGGU